GACGUAGGGCGCAAGCGUUGUCCGGAUUUAUUAGGCGUAAAGAGCUCGUAGGCGGCUUGUUGCGUCGACCGUGAAAACCCGCGGCUCAACCCCGGGCCUGCAUUCGAUACGGGCAGACUAGAGUUCGGUAGGGGAGUCUGGAAUUCCUGGUGUAGCGGUGAAAUGCGCAGAUAUCAGGAGGAACACCGGUGGCGAAGGCGGGACUCUGGGCCGAUACUGACGCUGAGGAGCGAAAGCGUGGGGAGCAAACAGG
rnacentral:rRNA from 1 species